UGCCAGCCGCCGCGGUAACACGGGGGGAGCAAGCGUUGUUCGGAAUCACUGGGCGUAAAGGGCGUGUAGGCGGUUCGUUAAGUCUGAUGUGAAAGCCCGGGGCUCAACCCCGGAAGUGCAUUGGAAACUGGCGAACUUGAGUACGGGAGAGGAAAGUGGAAUUCCGAGUGUAGGGGUGAAAUCCGUAGAUAUUCGGAGGUGCACCAGUGGCGAAGGCGGCUUUCUGGACCGAUACUGACGCUGAGACGCGAAAGCGUGGGGAGCAAACAGGAUUAUAUA
rnacentral:rRNA from 1 species